UACGUAGGGUGCAAGCGUUAUCCGGAAUUAUUGGGCGUAAAGAGCUCGUAGGCGGUUUGUCGCGUCUGCUGUGAAAACUGGAGGCUCAACCUCCAGCCUGCAGUGGGUACGGGCAGACUAGAGUGCGGUAGGGGAGAUUGGAAUUCCUGGUGUAGCGGUGGAAUGCGCAGAUAUCAGGAGGAACACCGAUGGCGAAGGCAGAUCUCUGGGCCGUAACUGACGCUGAGGAGCGAAAGCACGGGGAGCGAACAGG
rnacentral:rRNA from 1 species